UAGCUGAUGGGGAACUCAUCGGCGCAGCUAACGCAUUAAAUGAUCCGCCUGAGUAGUACGUUCGCAAGAAUAAAACUUAAAGGAAUUGACGGGGAUCCGCACAAGCGGUGGAGCAUGUGGUUUAAUUUGAAGAUACGCGUAGAACCUUACCCACUCUUGACAUCUUCUGCAAAGCUAUAGAGAUAUAGUGGAGGUUAACAGAGUGACAGAUGGUGCA
rnacentral:rRNA from 1 species